UACGUAGGGUGCGAGCGUUGCCCGGAUUUAUUGGGCGUAAAGGGCGCGUAGGCGGCCACGCACGUCCGUUGUGAAAUCGCCCGGCUCAACUGGGCGGGGUCAGCGGAUACGGUGUGGCUCGAGCAAGCUAGGGGGCAAUGGAACUCCCGGUGUAGUGGUGAAAUGCGCAGAUAGUCGGGAAGAACACCCGUGGCGAAGGCGGCUCUCUGGGACGGUACUGACGCUGAGACGCGAAAGCGUGGGGAGCGAACAGG
rnacentral:rRNA from 1 species